AGGUCAAGUGAAGAAGGGCGCACGGUGAAUGCCUUGGCACUGGAAGCCGAUGAAGGACGCGACUAACCGCGAAAGUCUUCGGGGAGCCGUAAGUAGGCUUUGAUCCGGAGGUCUCCGAAUGGGGGAACCCAGCAUGUGCAGACAUGCUAUCCUUAAGUGAAUACAUAGCUUAAGGAGGGAACACGCAGUGAACUGAAACAUCUAAGUAGCUGCAGGAAGAGAAAGAAAUAUCGAUUUCCCAAGUAGCGGCGAGCGAACAGGAAAGAGCCCAAACCGGCAGAUUUAUCUGCCGGGGUUGUAGGACUGAGACAUGGCACUUCAGAGGAUAGCAGAAGCGUUUGGGAAAGCGCGCCAGAGAGGGUGAGAGCCCCGUAAGCGAAAUCCAAAGAAGGCCUAUCAGUAUCCUGAGUAGGGCGGGACACGUGAAAUCCCGUUUGAAUCCGCGAGGACCAUCUCGCAAGGCUAAAUACUAACCAGUGACCGAUAGUGAACCAGUACCGUGAGGGAAAGGUGAAAAGAACCCCGGGAGGGGAGUGAAAGAGAACCUGAAACCGUGUGCCUACAAGUAGUCAGAGCCCGUUAACGGGUAAUGGCGUGCCUUUUGUAGAAUGAACCGGCGAGUUGCGUUAGUCAGCAAGGUUAAGUCAGAAAAGACGGAGCCGUAGCGAAAGCGAGUCUGAAGAGGGCGAGCAGUUGGCUGACGCAGACCCGAAACCAAGUGACCUACCCAUGACCAGGUUGAAGGCGCGGUAAAACGCGCUGGAGGACCGAACCCACGUAAGUUGAAAAUUGCGGGGAUGAGUUGUGGGUAGCGGUGAAAUUCCAAACGAACUUGGAGAUAGCUGGUUCUCUCCGAAAUAGCUUUAGGGCUAGCCUCGCAAAGAGGAUGCUGGAGGUAGAGCUCUGUUUGGACUAGGGGCCCGUCAAGGGUUACUGAAUUCAGAUAAACUGCGAAUUCCAGACAUUUAUGUGCGGGAGUCAGACUGCGAGUGAUAAGAUCCGUAGUCGAAAGGGAAACAGCCCAGAUCACCAGUUAAGGUCCCAAAAUUCAUGCUAAGUGGAAAAGGAUGUGGAGUUGCGCAGACAACUAGGACGUUGGCUCAGAAGCAGCCAUCAUUCAAAGAGUGCGUAAUAGCUCACUAGUCGAGUGACGCCGCGCCGAAAAUUUACCGGGGCUAAGCAUGAUACCGAAACUGUGGAUGUGCGUUUAUGCACGUGGUAGGAGAGCGUUCUAGCGGCGGUGAAGCAUGACCGAGAGGACAUGUGGAGCUUCUAGAAGUGAGAAUGCCGGUAUGAGUAACGAAAGACAGGUGAGAAUCCUGUCCGCCGCAAGACUAAGGUUUCCUGGGGCAGGCUCGUCCGCCCAGGGUAAGUCGGGACCUAAGGCGAGGCCGAGAGGCGUAGUCGAUGGACAACAGGUUGAAAUUCCUGUACUGCACCGAAUCGUUAUGAGCGAUGGAGGGACGCAGGAGGCUAGCAGCGCGUGGUGCUGGAUACCACGUUCAAGCGUCAAGUCUGAGAGCGAGUCAAAUGCUUGCUCUCAUAAGGACAAGGCGUGAUGAGGAGCGAAAUUAAAGUAGCGAAGG
rnacentral:rRNA from 1 species